GAAAUCCCUUAGUUUUUCCCUUAAGAGUUCCCCUCCCCAAAAUCCCUAAUUCUUUUUUCCAGACCCCCCUUUUUUUCCCAAUUUUAUUUCCCCAAAUUAGUUCCCCUCCCCGAAAUCCCUAACUUUUUUCCCCAACGUCUGCUGUAUCGUCGUCAGCCGUCCUCUGCUUCUUCGGCGUCGACAGUCCUCUGCUGCAUCACUGUCAACAACAACCCAGAAAAGAGAGAGAGAGAGACAGACGAGACAAACCCAAUAAUCUGGUGCACUAUCUAUUGAAAGAAAUUGUAAGGAAGUCAAUUGCUGAAACACAGGUAGACAAUUCUUGCUGCAGCAUUUUGCAUAAGAUAUAUGAACAUUUUAAGUCUUGGAAAUGGAAGUUAGCUAAAUUUGUUCUUAAUUAUCUUGUGGUUUUCUUGGUUGACCAAUUAGUACUGAAGAAUACAAAUUAAAUAUUAUUUAUGAAAGAUGGCAAGAAUAUAAACAAGAAAAUAGAUGAUAGGUUGUUUUCUGCCAAGUGCCAACUUCUGUGUCAUAAUUCAAGUGUCUUUAGUUUUUAAAUAAGAGGAAGAGUUUUCAUCAAUAGUUUAAUCCAUAUGGUUAAAACGAAAGAUAUACUGCCUUAAUUGUAUAAAAACCAAACUUUCUCAAGCUGCAAUUAUCUGUUUAGCUGAUAUACAUAUACAACAUGGCAAAGGUGUUAGAGCCUGAAUCUGGGAUAGUAGGUAAAACUUGAAGGUUAAAAUAGUAAGUCAAAAAAUAAGAGCUAAAAAAUAAGCACUCCUUUGUGAUCAAUAAUCAUGCUGAGUUUUUCAGUUAUCUAAGACAUGUUUUUGACAGAAAAGUGUUGAAGUUUAGAACCAUACAUGUACUAUUGAAGGUUAGCCCUUUAAAAAGAGAGAUUAUAUAUACAUAUACAGCAUGAAUUAGUGUAAAAAGAAAAAAAUGGUUGAAGUUGAGCAGGUGUAGACAAUAUUUCAUUCUGUAUAUAUCUCUCUUUCUUGCUUUCUGGUGACCUUCUGUUUUUCAGCUGGUGUUCCAUGCACAACAGUUCCUCUCGAAGAAUGAAAAAUGAAGCCUUUUCUUUCCAUCUUUCUUUGUUCAAUUUUUUUUUUUUUUUCCAUUUGGAGCUUCAUAAAGUUGACACAAGUGUUGACUGAUAGUUGCUGGAGCUAUUUGGAUGUUGCCCAAUCUUCAUUUCUUACUUCUAAAAAUGUUGUAACUGUUUCCAUUGAAUUUUGAUGCCUUCUCUGAUUGCUGCCCAUUCUGAAAUAGGGUUUGCCUUCAUUGUUAAUCAACAGUCUGCUUUCAUUUUUAAUGGACAGCCAGGCAGCAAAAUCUUCCUUAA